UACGUAGGGGGCAAGCGUUGUCCGGAAUCAUUGGGCGUAAAGAGCGCGUAGGCGGUCCGGUAAGUCGGUUGUGAAAACUGGGGGCUCAACCCUCAGAGGCCGACCGAUACUGUCGGGCUAGAGUCCGGAAGAGGCGAGUGGAAUUCCUGGUGUAGCGGUGAAAUGCGCAGAUAUCAGGAGGAACACCAAUGGCGAAGGCAGCUCGCUGGGACGGUACUGACGCUGAGGUGCGAAAGCCAGGGGAGCAAACGGG
rnacentral:rRNA from 1 species